GGGGAUUUAGCUCAGUGGUAGAGCGCUUGCCUAGCAAGCGCAAGGCCCUGGAUUCAGUCCCCA
rfam:Rattus norvegicus chromosome 19, whole genome shotgun sequence.